rnacentral:rRNA from 1 species
UGGGAAUUUUGGACAAUGGGCGCAAGCCUGAUCCAGCAAUGCCGCGUGAGUGAAGAAGGCCUUCGGGUUGUAAAGCUCUUUUGUCAGGGAAGAAACGGGAUUGGCUAAUAUCCGAUCCUAAUGACGGUACCUGAAGAAUAAGCACCGGCUAACUACGUGCCAGCAGCCGCGGUAAUACGUAGGGUGCAAGCGUUAAUCGGAAUUACUGGGCGUAAAGCGUGCGCAGGCGGUUUUGUAAGUCUGACGUGAAAUCCCCGGGCUCAACCUGGGAAUUGCGUUGGAGACUGCAAGGCUGGAGUCUGGCAGAGGGGGGUAGAAUUCCACGUGUAGCAGUGAAAUGCGUAGAGAUGUGGAGGAACACCGAUGGCGAAAGGCAGCCCCCUGGGUCAAGACUGACGCUCAUGCACGAAAGCGUGGGGAGCAAACAGGAUUAGAUACCCUGGUAGUCCCACGCCCUAAAGCGAUGUCUACUAGUUGUCGGGUUUUAAUUAACUUGGUAACGCAGCUAACGCGUGAAGUAGACCGCCUGGGGAGUACGGUCGCAAGAUUAAAACUCAAAGGAAUUGACGGGGUCAUA